GACGAACGCUGGCGGCGUGCUUAACACAUGCAAGUCGAACGGAAAGGCCCUGCUUUUGUGGGGUGCUCGAGUGGCGAACGGGUGCGUAACACGUGAGUAACCUGCCCUUGACUUUGGGAUAACUUCAGGAAACUGGGGCUAAUACAGGAUAGGAGCUGCUGCAGCAUGGUGGGGGUUGGAACGUUUCGGCGGUUGGGGAUGGAUUCGGGGCUGAUCAGUUUGUUGGUGGGGUAGUGGCUUACCAAGGCGUUGACGGGUAGCCGGCCUGAGAGGGUGACCGGCCACAUUGGGACUGAGAUACGGCCCAGACUCCUACGGGAGACAGCAGUGGGGAAUAUUACACAAUGGGCGGGAGCCUGACGCAACAACGCCGCGUGCGGGAUGACGGCCUGCUGGUUGUAAACCGCUUUCGCCUAUGACGAAGCGUGAGUGACGGUAAUGGGUAAAGAAGCACCGGCUAACUACGUG
rnacentral:rRNA from 1 species